rnacentral:lncRNA from 1 species
UAUUGGCCGUGGUUCCAUGAUGGCCUAUGGACUUUUCAUGAUCUUGGGCUGUUGCCUCCUCUUGGUAACUAGGCUAGGGCAUUUAGCAAGGAGUACAGAUGGGACAAAGACUCCUUUGUUUAGGGUUUGGAAAAGCAGGUGAAGUGGAAAGAGAACAUUGCUUUAGGAUGAGCCGAACCAAUGAUGCUGAAAUGUGCAACGCCCACUUUGUGCAGGCCUUCAGGAGUACUGGUCAUUUUUCUGGCUCCUUGAAUAUGUCUGUGUGACCAGCCAGUUAACACAUAAUGCAAGCUGGUUGGGGACACAAUUAAUGUCACUUCGACUUGUCCUGUGUGUCGUCAUUGUGCUGUUUUUGCUUAAAAUUGUUGGUCAGAUCUGCAGUGAAGCAAGCUUUCCAAAGGUAGCCGUCAAGGACCUCCAUGAGGAAGGGACGUGCGGUGACUAAUAUUUAAUGAAAGAAGGCUCACAGACAGUUGAUGCAACUGCUGAAGUGCUUGUUGGAGUGAAUUAUGGCUUGGUACAGCAAGGUGCAAGUGUGCUGUGUUGAAGAUUUGCAUGUUUUGCUUAUGUGGCAAAGUUCUUGAUGUGGUAAAAAAGGCACUGCACAGCAGGGACCAUAUGUGCUCGUUUGUGAAGUAAAUGAAUAUAUGGGUCCAAACACCCACACA